AUUGAACGCUGGCGGCAUGCCUUACACAUGCAAGUCGAACGGCAGCACGGGAGCAAUCCUGGUGGCGAGUGGCGAACGGGUGAGUGAUAUAUCGGAACGUGCCCAGUAGUGGGGGAUAGCCCGGCGAAAGCCGGAUUAAUACCGCAUACGACCUGAGGGUGAAAGGCGGGGGAUCGCAAGACCUCGCGCUAUUGGAGCGGCCGAUAUCAGAUUAGCUAGUUGGUGGGGUAAAGGCCUACCAAGGCUACGAUCUGUAGUUGGUCUGAGAGGACGACCAGCCACACUGGGACUGAGACACGGCCCAGACUCCUACGGGAGGCAGCAGGUGGGGAAUAUUGGACAAUGGGCGCAAGCCUGAUCCAGCAAUUCCGCGUGGGUGAAGAAGGUCUUCGGAUUGUAAAGCCCUUUCGACAGGGACGAUGAUGACGGUACCUGUAGAAGAAGCCCCGGUAACUUCGUGCCAGCAGCCGCGGUAAACGUCUACUG
rnacentral:rRNA from 1 species